CCUACGGGCGGCAGCAGUGAGGAAUAUUGGUCAAUGGGCGCGAGCCUGAACCAGCCAAGUAGCGUGAAGGAUGACUGCCCUACGGGUUGUAAACUUCUUUUAUAUAGGAAUAAAGUGAGGCACGUGUGCCUUUUUGUAUGUACCUUAUGAAUAAGGAUCGGCUAACUCCGUGCCAGCAGCCGCGGUAAUACGGAGGAUCCGAGCGUUAUCCGGAUUUAUUGGGUUUAAAGGGAGCGUAGAUGGGUUGUUAAGUCAGUUGUGAAAGUUUGCGGCUCAACCGUAAAAUUGCAGUUGAUACUGGCAGCCUUGAGUACAGUAGAGGUAGGCGGAAUUCGUGGUGUAGCGGUGAAAUGCUUAGAUAUCACGAAGAACUCCGAUUGCGAAGGCAGCCUACUGGACUGCCACUGACACUGAGGCUCGAAAGUGUGGGUAUCAAACAGGAUUAGAUACCCUAGUAGUC
rnacentral:rRNA from 1 species